AGAGUUUGAUCCUGGCUCAGGAUGAACGCUGGCGGCGUGCCUAAUACAUGCAAGUCGAGCGAACAGAUGAGAAGCUUGCUUCUCUGAUGUUAGCGGCGGACGGGUGAGUAACACGUGGGUAACCUACCUAUAAGACUGGGAUAACUCCGGGAAACCGGGGCUAAUACCGGAUAAUAUAUUGAACCGCAUGGUUCAAUGUUGAAAGACGGUUUUGGCUGUCACUUAUAGAUGGACCCGCGCCGUAUUAGCUAGUUGGUAAGGUAACGGCUUACCAAGGCAACGAUACGUAGCCGACCUGAGAGGGUGAUCGGCCACACUGGAACUGAGACACGGUCCAGACUCCUACGGGAGGCAGCAGUAGGGAAUCUUCCGCAAUGGGCGAAAGCCUGACGGAGCAACGCCGCGUGAGUGAUGAAGGUCUUAGGAUCGUAAAACUCUGUUGUUAGGGAAGAAUAAAUUUGUUAGUAACUGAACAAGUCUUGACGGUACCUAACCAGAAAGCCACGGCUAACUACGUG
rnacentral:rRNA from 1 species